rnacentral:rRNA from 1 species
GAUGAACGCUGGCGGCGUGCCUAAUACAUGCAAGUCGAGCGAACAGAUGAGGAGCUUGCUCCUCUGACGUUAGCGGCGGACGGGUGAGUAACACGUGGAUAACCUACCUAUAAGACUGGGAUAACUUCGGGAAACCGGAGCUAAUACCGGAUAAUAUAUUGAACCGCAUGGUUCAAUAGUGAAAGACGGUUUUGCUGUCACUUAUAGAUGGAUCCGCGCCGCAUUAGCUAGUUGGUAAGGUAACGGCUUACCAAGGCAACGAUGCGUAGCCGACCUGAGAGGGUGAACCGACACCCCGGAAGUGAGACACGGUCCAGACCCCCACGAGGGGCCAGAAUGGGAAAUCUGCCGACAGGGGCAAAAGGAUGGCGGGGCAACCGCGCGUGAGUGAAGAAGGUCUUGGGAUGGUAAAACUCUUUUAGUAGGGAAAAAAAAAUGUGUAAAGAACUAUGCAAGUUUUGACGGUACCAAAACAAAAAACCACCGAUAACGACG